CUGUGGUUCAUUUUUCCUUAUUACUGAUGGCCAGUCACAUGUUGCAUCUGCUUUUUAGUUUCUAGGUUUCUGAAGAGCGUGCGCUUAACUGAUACCUUCUGUACCACCAUGCCAGCUCCUCUUUGCCUUUUAUGUCACUGCAAAUAUUAACUGUAGAGGUCAGUCCUCUAAGCAGCCUGAAUUUCCACUCCCCACCUGGUAGCUGAGGUGCUGUCAGCAGAGGCUGGGAACCACGCAAGGAACCUGGAUUCGCUCCUGUGCCUCUAGCUGCCUACCCCGCCCCAGUGGUGCUCCUCCUCCUGACCAGAGAAUUGGAGAAUUUCAGAAAGGGAUUCUUGAAAUGUGAAUAGAAGGUCCUGGGCAGAGGCCCUCGUGACUUCUGUGUGAAACUGACCAGAAUUAACACAGCAGAAGGUUUGCAAACUGAGCUUCAGUGU
rnacentral:lncRNA from 1 species